AGGACGGGGAACGGGCCAUCAGUCGUUCCGCGACCGUUACGUUCUACAAGGAAUACGUGUGAAUAUGGCUCGAGAUGACGAGAUGACGCCUUCGUCUUUACGCGGUCAACUUCAUGCGACAAGACUGGCGCCGCGUAUACUCGCGACGCGGCAAUACUUUUGGUCAAGCACUUUGGUCACGUGAAUUACAUUGUUAAUACUAACUUAAUAAAACAUCCUUUAUAUAUUAAAUAUUCAAGCUAAACAAUUCUUACAAUUCAUAUUGAGUGACACUUGUCUUUUUUACAAGGUUAAUCCACGUGCUUGGAAAUUGUCUCAUAUCGAGAUUGCAAGUAUCUUGUAUGCUGGACUGACAUAACUUGCACCAUGGAUCAUAGGUGGGAUAUAUUACAAAACAAUGAUAGUUACAAGACUAAAUAGAUGCGUUUUAGUCAUGGGAGGCCAAGAAGUAUCAGUAUCUUGGCUAUACAGCUGCUGACAGCUUGGAACAUGUAAUUAGCACUUGCAAUAGUGACACUGUAAAGAUGCUGCAGAAUUUAAAUGCUGAUGUUGUCAUUGAUUAUAAGAAAGAUUCCAAUGCAGAAAUUUUUACAGAGAGACUGAGUUAUUUUGUAAGUUAAAAUGCAUUGUAUUAGAAUAAACACAGUAUAUAUACAUGUACAAUUGUCAUAGUUACAUACAGAUACGACAUGACCUUAGAUUACACGAAUCAGGGAUCAGAAUAAUUCACAAUGAAGGAAUACUCAAUACACAACACUUACAUAGCAUUAAACUUGACUCUGUUAAAAAAUGUCGACCAUUACGAGCUAAUUAUGGGACUGGUGAAGAUCCUUGACCUAAAGGUCUGAAGUUUAAUACAGAAAAUAAAAGCAUUGUGCAAUUUUUUUAUGCCUUCUCAACUGUAUUAAUGUUUUCCAGAAGCUCGUGAAAAAUGAAGAGUAUGUGCUUAUUGUUCAAACAUGCUUUCCAAGAUUUGCCACAGGCAAUAUGAGAGAUUAAAGUAAGGUCAUUUAAGAAGCAAACCAACUAAUUGAUAUAAAAUAAUAAACCGAGUUAAAUAAUUUUUUAUAUACAAAUGAUUUAUUAACAAUAAAUACUUAUUUUGCAUA